CAUACCUUUGUUUUGUGUCGUUGUUGCUCGACAGGAGCUUGGUUGGGCUUAUCGAGGGAAUCUUGCCGCCUGGGAUCAUGGAUGACAAACACCGCCCAGCCUGUUUAGCGGAGGGAGCCUCACAAUUCCUCCGCGCCCUGCAAGGUAUUCAUCCUACGAUGUCGGCAGCCAGCCAUCAUUCUGAUUUAAUUUAGUUCUAAGGGACUCCUUUUUCUAUUCCAUUCAGGCGGGAAUCAGAAAGGUGGCCAGGUAACGUUUUCUCUUGUUCUGCACAAACUAGACCUCAGGGAAGGCUUGUUUUGUGACAUGAAAUCAAUCCCAACUACAAAUCCAAGUCAGCCAUUCUCUGACAUCAUAUUGAUUUCUCAAGACCCAGGAAAUAAGAAUUAAACACAUGGUUGCCCAUUUUUCCUUUUUCCUUUUUUUUUUUUGACACAGCCAUACCCAUCUAACAGAGACAAGAAGAAGGUGAAGGGAAAAAGUGAACCCAUUCCAGACAACUACACCCCCAACGUGAAGGAUAGAAAGAAAAACCUAGCAAAAGAGUCCAUAAUCCCUAAUCUCAAACGACUCCACCACAUUCGCCAUUACCUCUUCCGCAAAUGCCUCCUCGCGCGCCGCCGCGCGUGGGUCCCCUGCAUCAUCAAACUCGGAAUGUGGCACUACGAUAUACGCUAUGAUAUCCGUACUCUUCUCCAUUAAACGGAUUAGGAGUAAACGGCAAGUGGACGUCGCCACGGCCGCAUCUACAUCCCUAGCACUCGACGUAAUUAAUGCCUUUGCUAGAUAGGCCGGCACUUGUGGUAGCUUCGGUAGCUGGAUGAGUUGGGGGUUAUCGAUGAUUUUAUAGCUGUCUCCGCUGAUUUCACAGAUCUCGUGGAGAUGGAAGGCUGCAGCAUGUAGAUCCUGUGCUAUGGCGUCGUCCUUGGUCGUGUUUGGCAGGGAGAAGCUGAAUGGAGUUGUUGCGGGGCCGGCGCCGGUGGUGCUGCUGGUUGCGGCAGCUUGUUGAGGAUCUCCUUGUUGGAGUUGGGAGAGGUUCAGCCUCUCGUUUAUCUCGAUGAGGAUGCUCGUUCGUGUGGAGUCGGAUACGAAAGCUUCCUGGUUAUCGGGAACUUCACGCAUGUCGCUAUAACGAUAUUUUUAUUGGUUAUUGAUGGGUUCCCAAAUUGAAAAACGCUGGAAAAGUAUCCAUCCUCAUCUAUGCACCUGAUAUAAAGCUGGCAGAUUGUCUUAGAUAGGAAAACAGAUAGAUGCAUGUACAAUAUAGCAUAACACGGCAUUGCAUUCAUAGGACGAGAGGUGGAUCAGAACUAUAACCCACAGGAAAUAGUCAUCCAUUUGGCCCUUUCUUUUGUUUCUCCUUUAAAACAAGUAUCAAGUAUCAUGCUAAGGGAGAUUGAAAUAUAAAAACACUCAUACAGCAACAUCUUCGCAGUUAAUAUAUAGGCCAACC
rnacentral:sRNA from 2 species